rnacentral:snRNA from 1 species
ACCGCUUCUCCGCCUUUUGGCUAAGAGAAAGUGUAGUAUCUGUUCUUAUCAGUUUAAUAUUUUCAUAUAUUCCAAAAAAUACAGACUUUUAUUCUUUUCUGAAAGCCACU